UACGUAGGGUGCGAGCGUUGUCCGGAAUUAUUGGGCGUAAAGAGCUCGUAGGCGGUUUGUCGCGUCUGCCGUGAAAGUCCGGGGCUCAACUCCGGAUCUGCGGUGGGUACGGGCAGACUAGAGUGAUGUAGGGGAGACUGGAAUUCCUGGUGUAGCGGUGAAAUGCGCAGAUAUCAGGAGGAACACCGAUGGCGAAGGCAGGUCUCUGGGCAUUAACUGACGCUGAGGAGCGAAAGCGUGGGAGCGAACAGG
rnacentral:rRNA from 1 species